rnacentral:rRNA from 1 species
AACGAACGCUGGCGGCAGGCCUAACACGUGCAAGUCGAGCGAGGACUUCGGUCCUAGCGGCGGACGGGUGAGUAACGCGUGGGAACGUGCCCCUUGGUACGGAAUAGCCCCGGGAAACUGGGAGUAAUACCGUAUGAGCUCUACGGAGGAAAGAUUUAUCGCCAAGGGAUCGGCCCGCGUUGGAUUAGGUAGUUGGUGGGGUAAUGGCCUACCAAGCCGACGAUCCAUAGCUGGUUUGAGAGGAUGAUCAGCCACACUGGGACUGAGACACGGCCCAGACUCCUACGGGAGGCAGCAGUGGGGAAUCUUAGACAAUGGGCGCAAGCCUGAUCUAGCCAUGCCGCGUGAGCGAUGAAGGCCUUAGGGUUGUAAAGCUCUUUCAGCUGGGAAGAUAAUGACCGUACCAGCAGAAGAAGCCCCGGCUAACUCCGUGCCAGCCGCCGCAGUAAAAC